UACGUAGGGUGCAAGCGUUGUCCGGAAUUAUUGGGCGUAAAGAGCUCGUAGGCGGUCUGUCGCGUCGGCUGUGAAAUCCCGAGGCUCAACCUCGGGUCUGCAGUCGAUACGGGCAAACUUGAGUGUUGCAGGGAAGACUGGAAUUCCUGGUGUAGCGGUGAAAUGCGCAGAUAUCAGGAGGAACACCGGUGGCGAAGGCGGGUCUCUGGGCCGAUACUGACGCUGAGGAGCGAAAGCGUGGGGAGCGAACAGG
rnacentral:rRNA from 1 species